GCCGAUGUGUCCGACGCCCAGGAUGCCGAUUUUCACGGUGGAUCUCCUUGUCGUGAGAUGGGGGAGCCGUUCCACAUGGCUCACCGGUACC
rnacentral:tRNA from 1 species